rnacentral:tRNA from 1 species
GGGGAUAUAGCUCAGUUGGUAGAGCGCUUGCCUUGGAUGCACAAGGUCCUGGGUUCAAUUCCUAACACCA